rnacentral:rRNA from 1 species
UACGGAGGGUGCGAGCGUUGUCCGGAAUCACUGGGCGUAAAGGGCGCGUAGGCGGCCUGAUAAGUAGGGGGUGAAAUCCUGCGGCUUAACCGCAGGGCUGCCUUCUAAACUGUCAGGCUCGAGCACAGUAGAGGCAGGUGGAAUUCCCGGUGUAGCGGUGGAAUGCGUAGAGAUCGGGAAGAACAUCAGUGGCGAAGGCGGCGACCUGGUCCGUGACUGACGCUGAGGCGCGAAAGCGUGGGGAGCAAACAGG